UUGAUUGUCAGCUGACGAGGAUGUCACAUGUUCGAAUUCCCUGCACGCUCGCUUCCUGGUAUUUUUUGCGAGCAUUACCUAAAAUCAAGGGGGAGCAAGAAUUGAUUAAAAUUCAGGGGCAUUCCUGUAAAAAACACGUGUAGCUCACAGCGCGCGUCCAACGCCUGCAACCACUGACAUGUGGCCCAACGACAUCAACGCGGGCACUCGAUACGGCGGCAUGCGUUCAGAGGUAUCGUAUUUGAACGGCCAGACAAGUUAUGACACCAUUUUUGGGUAUUUUUCAAAUUUAGGCAUGAAACUGACCGCACCGGACAAGUUAAGCACGUGUGUGUGCUGUAUUUAACUCUUUUGAAUUUCUAUUCAGUCGGUGGGGCGGCGGCCUUUGUCUUAGCUGGGGAAGGGAUUGAAAGGGGUUGGCCGAGGCGGCGGAGGGAACGGGGAGCUUCUCGCCGCUCGCCGGUGAUUAGCGGCAGGUCGGCCAAGCGAAGACGGCGCCCGGCGAGUCACCCCACAAGCGGGGUUUGUUCGCGGGAGGCGUGCUUCACAGGGAGGGCCUCAGGCAAGAGAGGUGUUAGUCUGGAGAGGAGCUCGGCCGUAGCUACCCCUUCGUGCUCGCCACCAGCAAGCGCCGUCGAUGGGUGAUGUAGUAUUCGCCGGAGCCGGUGGGCCGCAAGAGAUGAUUGUGGAUAUUUCCCAACGAAGAUAAUGGAGAUAUGGGAACCAGCCUUGGAUCCGCGGAAGCAUUUCUCACAAGAUGAUAUCCAGAAUAUAAGGAUUCAAUAUAUGAAUCAACUAUUCUUUUGGAAGAAAAACACCGCAGACAAGAGGCUGGUCACUGAUUUCAACCUACAGGUUUUUCUUCCUUAUUUUUUAUUCAUUUUCACUUAUAUUUUUUAUUUUAUUUUUUUAAGUUGUUUUGCCAUUUUUCAUUAUUUUUGUGAUUUUAACUGUUGUCUUACUUUCUCUAUGUGAUUCUCCUUUCUUUUCUUUUCUACGGGAUGAUUUCGUUAACAAUCCUGCAUGAUAGCUUUGGUUUCUCUCUGUAUUUUGGGCCUGUUGGACGUAUAUCAAUUAAAGAGAGCUCGCCUACUUUUUUC